rnacentral:rRNA from 1 species
ACCUGGUUGAUCCUGCCAGUAGUCAUAUGCUUGUCUUAAAGAUUAAGCCAUGCAUGUCUAAGUAUAAACACUUUGUACUUGUGAAACUGCAAAUGGCUCAUUAAAUCAGUUAUAAUUUAUUUGAUGGUCUCUUUACUACUUGGAUAACCGUGGUAAAUCUAGAGCUAAUACAUGCAUAAAAUCUUGACUGGUUCUUUCAGGAGCUGGGAGGGAUGUAUUUAUUAGAUUCAAAAGCCAAUGCCAUUCUUUUCGGAGAAUGGAAAUUUAACAUAUGGUGAAUCAUGAUAACUUUACAAAUCGCAUGGUCUUUUGUGCCGGCGAUAGUUCAUUCAAAUAUCUGCCCUAUCAACUUUCGAUGGUAGUAUAGAGGACUACCAUGGUGUUAACGGGUAACGGAGAAUCAGGGUUUGAUUCCGGAGAAGGAGCCUGAGAAACGGCUACUACUUCCAAGGAAGGCAGCAGGCGCGCAAAUUACCCAAUCCCGACACGGGGAGGUAGUGACAAAAAAUAACAAUACCGGUCUUAUUUAAGUCUGGUAAUUGGGAAUGAGUACAAUCUAAAUCCUUUAACGAGUAUCAAUUGGAGGGCAAGUCUGGUGCCAGCAGCCGCGGUAAUUCCAGCUCCAAUAGCAUAUAUUAAAGUUGUUGCAGUUAAAAAGCUCGUAGUUGGAUUUUGAAGUUUACAUAUUAUGACCCGCUUUGUAUUAAGUGUGACUUUUGUUGUGAUAUGUACUUCUCCUUACUAGACUUUCACUAUUACACUUUAUUGAGUGAUAGUUUCAUUUUAAUUUAUUAGAAUGAGUGAUAAGCAGACCUAUUGGGUUUAAGAUUGUGGAGGUUCUUUUUCGAAAGUUCGUUCUGCUUAGAUUCAGUAACUGUUUAUUAGAAAUCUAGUUCAUUUACUUUGAGUAAAUUAGAGUGUUCAAGGCAAGCAAAAUAUUAAUUUUCUGCAAUGAAUACUAUUAGCAUGGGAUAAUGGAACAGGACAUGUAUUCUAGUUUUCCGUUGGUUUCUAGAAUUUUUUAAAGUCUUUCUUUUUUUGGGAAAGAUGAAGUGUAAUGAUUAAAAGGGACAGUUGGGGGCAUUUGUAUUUCAUUGUCAGAGGUGAAAUUCUUGGAUUUAUGAAAGACGAACUUCUGCGAAAGCAUUUGCCAAAGAUGUUUUCAUUAAUCAAGAACGAAAGUUAGGGGAUCGAAGACGAUCAGAUACCGUCGUAGUCUUAACCAUAAACUAUGCCGACCAGGGAUUGGAAGAUGUCUUAUCCUGUGUAACAGCAGGAAAACUCCUUCAGUACCUUACGAGAAAUCAUAAGUCUUUGGGUUCUGGGGGGAGUAUGGUCGCAAGGCUGAAACUUAAAGGAAUUGACGGAAGGGCACCACCAGGAGUGGAGCCUGCGGCUUAAUUUGACUCAACACGGGAAAACUUACCAGGUCCAGACACAGUUAGGAUUGACAGAUUGAGAGUUCUUUCUUGAUUCUGUGGGUGGUGGUGCAUGGCCGUUCUUAGUUGGUGGAGUGAUUUGUCUGGUUAAUUUCGAUAACGAACGAGACCUCAGCUUAUUAAUUAGUUAUGCAAAUGAUUACAUCCAUUUGAUUGGGAAGGGUUUCUAGUGUAAGCUUGGGGUUUGACUCUGAGAUUGAUUAGAAAAACUUGUUUUUAUUUGUUAGAAUUUGAUUUAUUAAAUUCGUUAAUAACUUCUUAGAGGGACACUUGGUGUUUAACCAAGGGAAGUCUGAGGCAAUAACAGGUCUGUGAUGCCCUUUAGAUGUUCUGGGCUGCACGUGCGCUACACUGAUACGAACAACGAGUGCUGAAGCCCUCAUUCGAAAGGAUGGGGUAAACUUAUGAAAUCGUAUCGUGCUGGGGAUCGAUAAUUGCAAUUAUUUAUCGUGAACGAGGAAUUCCUAGUAAGCGCAAGUCAACAGCUUGCGCUGAUUACGUCCCUGCCCUUUGUACACACCGCCCGUCGCUCCUACCGAUGUUUGGUCCGGUGAAAUCUUAGGAUUCGUAGCAUACACUUAUUAUCACUUUCGGGUGAAAAUGAGUUUGUUGUGGAGAAUUUGAGUAAACCUUGCCAAAUAGAGGAAGGAGAAGUCGUAACAAGGUAUCCGUAGGUGAACCUGCGGAAGAAUC